rnacentral:rRNA from 1 species
CUGCAUGGCUGUCGUCAGCUCGUGUCGUGAGAUGUUGGGUUAAGUCCCGCAACGAGCGCAACCCUUGUCAUUAGUUGCCAGCACUGAGUUGGGCACUCUAAUGAGACUGCCGGUGACAAGCCGGAGGAAGGUGGGGAUGACGUCAAGUCCUCAUGGCCCUUAUAGGUGGGGCUACACACGUCAUACAAUGGCUGGUACAGAGGGAAGCGAACCCGCGAGGGGGAGCCAAUCCCAAAAAGCCAGUCGUAGUCCGGAUCGCAGUCUGCAACUCGACUGCGUGAAGUCGGAAUCGCUAGUAAUCGCGGAUCAGAAUGUCGCGGUGAAUACGUUCCCGGGUCUUGUACACACCGCCCGUCACACCAUGGGAGCGGGUUCUGCCAGAAGUAGUUAGCCUAACCGCAAGG